AAGAGAAUUGGUAAAUAGUAAGAGUAAAAUCAUUUAAUAUUAGUGCACAGAGAAAGGAAAAUAAGAAAAUAAAGACAAUAACUAGUAACUUAAAACAAAAAAAUAAAACUUUUAACUAACAAAAAUGGUUUCCCCUUCUAGAUCUUCAAAGAACAUUGCAAUCCAUAUUCCGUUGUUCAGUACCUUAAUCUGAUUAUUCACAGAACAAUGAGCUGCCAUCUAGUUUGCAAAUUGAUAUAGAAAAGAGUAUGCAUUGUCUGUGUACAGGUUUCCAACAUUGAAAAAGUGAGAAAUGACAGCUUGCAUAUCCUAACAGAUUUCUCUCACACCAUUAGUGAGGAUGCCUAGUCAAUCAAAACCUGUACUUGAUUUCAGCAAACUUCGUCCUCUUAUCUUUAAUUAACAUAAGAUUAGUCAUCUAAAAUUUCAACUUUGAUACCGAAAAAAGCGGCCAACACCUUCUCGCAUACCGGGGUUGAACAUCGGAAUGCCGAAAUGCGAUAUCAAUGAAUACAUUGUAACAUCAGAGGAUAAAAACAAUGAUAAAAAUAAUUUACAAAUUAAAUUGUCUCUGUCAGGCGUAUCACUUGGAUUAUGACCAUUUGCUUCACAUUGCCUAGCAAACUAAGAAGGCAAGCGAGGUUUAUGCCUAGUUUUUGCACAUCUGUAGCUUCCGCAUAUUCAAUUCAUCCCGCAUCAUUCUAGAAAAACAAGGCGACGAAAAGCUGCACAACGGGUAUGAAAAUCCUAAUAACGCUUCGCCUCCAAAGGAACGUCUAUGAAUCCGCAGGAUCCUACUUGCCGCGCUAAUUAACGAGGUAUACUUGAUUUCGCUGUUUCACACAAAUCAAUAUUUCAAUGUUCUCUUGUCUUUGCGGAAUCGAACAAACUAUACUUCGAUUAACAAAAAAAAGAAGUUCGUUAAUUUCAUUUCAUCGCAAACGUGUUUUCUUAGUUUUUAUUCUCAAAAACGAACAAUCUACAACGAAGAAUUGUUUUCGAUCUUUAACCCACAACAACAAAAACAUUUAGUAAGUGACGCUAAAAGUCAGUUCGAUCACACUUGAAAGUACACAUAUUAAACGCUGAAU